rnacentral:rRNA from 1 species
GGAAAACUUACCAGGUCCAGACAUAGUGAGGAUUGACAGAUUGAGAGCUCUUUCUUGAUUCUAUGGGAGGUGGUGCAUGGCCGUUCUUAGUUGGUGGAGUGAUUUGUCUGGUUAAUUCCGUUAACGAACGAGACCCCCGCCUGCUAAAUAGGUCCGUGAAUGAAUUUCAUUGACGAGAUCUUCUUAGAGGGACUUUUGGUGUCUAACCAAAGGAAGUUGGGGGCAAUAA